CUCUGCUUACCUCUCUCAGCU
rnacentral:miRNA from 1 species